rnacentral:tRNA from 1 species
AAGACUUUAAGUUAAAUAAACUAGUAUCCUUCAAAGUUAUAAAUAAAGAAAUUCCAUCUUUAAGUCUUA